rnacentral:rRNA from 1 species
UUUAACUGAAGAGUUUGAUCAUGGCUCAGAUUGAACGCUGGCGGCAGGCUUAACACAUGCAAGUCGAGCGGGGGAAGGUAGCUUGCUACUGGACCUAGCGGCGGACGGGUGAGUAAUGCUU